rnacentral:lncRNA from 1 species
UUGGACAUAAAUAAUUAGAAUAAAUUAAAUAAUUAAUUCAUAGACAUAAAAGGUUCAAUUUGUAGUCUUAACAGAAGAUUUAGUUCAUGAUUAAUGAAUUAAAACUAAGAAUUCACAAUUGAAUAGACAUUAAAAGAUAAAAGUAAGAGACGAGAAGAGAAUAAAAUCUGUUGUCAGCAAAUCUCCAUCUUCAUCAAGCUCUUGCUCUGGAUCUUCAAUGGUCUCCAAGUUGCUUCAAUUUCCAAAACUAAUAAGAACUAGGGUUUAUGUUCAAAUCUAAUGGAGUGUAUCUCUAAUCUAAUCUAUAUAAUCCCCCCUUUAUUAUAUGCCUUACAUCAUGUAUUUAUAGGUUACAAGUCCAAUUUUUAGCUUAGGAACAAACCCAAUCCAAUUUGGAGUCAAAAAAAUGUAAAAAUUCGCCCCAAAACGCGUCCCAACUUCACGAGGCCCGAGCCCAGUGCCCCAGCGCUGCUCACGACACUUUAACACUGCCUCCUAGCGCCCCGACGCUGGGCGUAGGCCAUGUUUAGGCGCCCCGGCGCUGGGCCCUUUUUUGGAAAUUUUCUACUCCGACGUCCUUUGGGAAAAUGGUCAUAACUUCUUCUUCCGAACUCAGAUUUCGAUGAUUCAAGAUGUUCAAAAAAGAGGAGACGUAGAUCUACAACUUUCAUUCUUUGAGUUUUUCGAAAUAAAGUCUGGAACAAUGCUGAAAUUGGCUUUGAAGUGAAUGCUAUGUAAAUGAUAAGCAAAAAACGCGCAUCUAGCUACCCCAAACGUCGAUCCAAGUAACUUUUGUCCCAAUUCCUACAAAACAACAUAAAAAAUUCAUGAAUAGAUACAAACACUUAAAAACUUUCAAAAGAUUAAGAUCAAAUGCACUCAAUUUGUGAUAGCCCCAAAUCCGGGUCCUAAUCGCCGCGUAUUCGAUACAAUCAUUCUACAACUGUUUGCGGAAGAUAUAAACAUAGAUUGUUUAUACAUUAAACUUUACACACAUUUCCCCAUAAUCGAGUAACCUUCACUUAUACACAAUCAGGAACUAUCUAGCACAUGACCAUACUAUUCUUCAACAUACUUUACAACUUAACUUCACAUUCUGUACCAAGCUGAACUUGGCAUUAUCCUUUUUCUGUAUCUGGCCGUAUUCGCCUUAUCUGCAAUGUUUUAUCUUGAUAUAGCAAGGGUGAGCAUGAAAGUUGCCCAGCAAGUUUAAAAACAAUGUAAAGAUAUAUCAUGAUGGAAAGAGUUUGAAUAAUAAGCUGGCUAUCCUUCACAAUGUAUUUGUGAAUUAGCAUGAACAAAGUUUUGACUGAACAAGUAUUGAACAGGAACAAUAAUAUAUCUGGACCAACUGGUAAUGAAGGUGAUCAGCCUUUCAUACCUGGCUUAUACAUGCAAGAUUUAUAGGGUACAAUUCAUAAGCAUAUCUGUCUGAAACCACUCUUAAAAGAGUUUAAGUAAAAAGAACUUGAAAAACUUGCCUGAACCGUUGAUUACCGUAACGCAAUAUAAUAAGCUUCUCCUGAAGACCUAAUAUUAAUAAUAUAGAUCUCCAAUAUUAGAAUAAUAUCAUCACCGUUAUAAAAUAACUUAAACACAUAAUCCUAUCAGUCUAUACAGCAUAUAAAACCUAUAAUAGAUCUUUCGGUUAGUCAUAACAUAUAGUUAAGUAUUAGACAAUAGGUUUAAGUCUUAAUAUUAUUAUUAUACUUUGAUAUUCUUUUAAUCACAUCAUAACUUGUACUUAUAAGUUAUUCAUUUUUAUAUGUUAUCCUAGUAAAUUAG